CUUGGUUCAGGACGAACGCUGGCGGCGUGCCUAAUACAUGCAAGUCGAACGGCUUUUCUAUGGAAGCUUGCUUCCACUGAGAAGAUAGUGGCGAACGGGUGAGUAACACGUGGGUAACCUGCCCAUAAGAGGGGGAUAACAUCCGGAAACGGGUGCUAAUACCGCAUAGUUUUCUUGAUCGCAUGAUUGAGAAAGGAAAGACGGCCUUUGUGCUGUCGCUUAUGGAUGGACCCGCGGCGUAUUAGUUAGUUGGUGAGGUAACGGCUCACCAAGACGAUGAUACGUAGCCGACCUGAGAGGGUGAUCGGCCACAUUGGGACUGAGACACGGCCCAAACUCCUACGGGAGGCAGCAGUAGGGAAUCUUCCGCAAUGGACGAAAGUCUGACGGAGCAACGCCGCGUGAGUGAAGAAAAGGUUUUCGGAUCGUAAAACUCUGUUGUCAGAGAAGAACAAGUUGGAGAGUAACUGCUCCAGCCUUGACGGUAUCUGACCAGAAAGCCACGGCUAACUACGUGCCAGCCGCUGC
rnacentral:rRNA from 1 species